rnacentral:rRNA from 1 species
UACAGAGGUCUCAAGCGUUGUUCGGAUUCAUUGGGCGUAAAGGGUGCGUAGGUGGCGCUGUAAGUCGGGUGUGAAAUCCUGAGGCUUAACCUGGGAACUGCAUUCGAGACUGCAUUGCUAGAGUAUGGGAGAGGGAAGUGGAAUUUCCGGUGUAGCGGUGAAAUGCGUAGAUAUCCGGAGGAACCCCAGAGGCGAAGGCGGCGCCCUGGCUCGCACCUGACGCUCAGACACGACAGCAUGGGGAGCGAACGGG